UACGAAGGAGGCUAGCGUUGCUCGGAAUCACUGGGCGUAAAGCGCACGUAGGCGGCUUUCUAAGUCAGGGGUGAAAUCCUGGAGCUCAACUCCAGAACUGCCCUUGAUACUGGGAAGCUCGAGUUCGGGAGAGGUGAGUGGAACUGCGAGUGUAGAGGUGAAAUUCGUAGAUAUUCGCAAGAACACCAGUGGCGAAGGCGGCUCACUGGCCCGAUACUGACGCUGAGGUGCGAAAGCGUGGGGAGCAAACAGG
rnacentral:rRNA from 1 species